rnacentral:lncRNA from 1 species
CCGGGACGCGGAGCUUGCGGUGAGCCGAGAUAGCGCCACUGCACUCCAGCCCGGGCGACAGAGCGAGACUCCAUCUAAAAAAAAAAAAAAAAAAACAACAACUGGCCCCUGUUCCUUGUUGGUUAAAAGUUCCUUCCAGGGACCAUUACCUCCUCUCACUUCCAAGCUGUGCGUGCAUGCCAAACAUUCUGCCGAGAUGUUCACAGAGAAGCUUGGGGAAAGAAAGUAGGAAACCGAAACCAAAGGUGCAGAGCUGAGGUGAAAGACGGUUUAGAUGCUCCGAUGUGAUGACUGAGCAGAACUGAUGAGGCUGAAAAAACUGAAGUAGUGCACAACAGGCUCCACGAUGCUCGUGAAUCCCACAUGAAGUGUUCUCAUUUCCCUUUAGCCUACCGAAAACACAGCCCCUUUCUCAGGCUCUCAGACAAUAAUAAACAAGGUGGGUGAGUGAUAACUUUACGAAGUCUGGUCUGUUUCCAGCUGGAAGGAGCCUCCUUCUCCUUGUUAGAGCUAGGUAGGAUUUAGGGGCUUAAGUCUGGUGUCAGAGCACUCUUUUCUCUUCCCAGAUACUUACUUUUUUUUUUUUUUACUCUUAUCUUGUUUCACUCAGGUGUGUCUCUUUACAUAUUCUCCUGUAUGUCUUUUUCACAUGUCUCGUGUAUGUCUUGAUUCACUCAGUGUCUCUUUACAUAUUCUUCUGUACCAACACAAGGUGGAUGUGAGGGUGUGUUGGUAUCUUGUCUUCCUGGCAGAGUUGAGAGACACCCAAAUUCCUCAUCCCAAGAACAUCCUUAUCCCUCUAGACGGGUCUUUCCCUCCUGAUGGGAUUGACUUGAUACAGAACAAG